UGCACAGCCAGCUUCUCUGGUAGUGAGUCCUGCACCAGGAGGGAGAGAAGAGCCGCUCAUCAGGCACAAGGGACUUGGAAGAGGUGGGACAACCUGCCGCUUCAGAACCUACAGAGCCGGCAGCCGGCAGGCUUGGCAGGAGGGACCACCGGCUGGGACUGGUCGCAGCCUCACUUUGAGGGCCUCUGGACUCUAGUUCCCUCCAAGCACAUGUCAAAGGAUAGCCUGGGGUGUCGGUGGUUAAGAGCCUAAAAGCAGAAGCCAGACUCUCAGGGACCAAAGCCUUGUUUUGCAGGCUCAGUGUGACCAUGGGCAAGUUAUGUGUUCAGUGUCCGUUUUCUCAUCUGUAAACUGGGAUAAUAAGAAAACCUACCUCUUGGGGCUGUUGAAGAUUCACGUAAAGCACUUAGAAAAAUGCUUAGCACCUCGACAAAUGUUAUGCUCAGAAGCCUCAAUAAAUGUUAAUAAUGA